GUGCGCCUACGGGACGCAGCAGUAGGGAAUAUUGCUCAAUGGGGGAAACCCUGAUGCAGCGACGCCGCGUGGGUGAAGAAACGCCUCGGCGCGUAAAGCCCUGUCAGCAGGGAAGAAAAUGACGGUACCUGAAGAAGAAGCCCCGGCUAACUACGUGCCAGCAGCCGCGGUAAUACGUAGGUGGCGAGCGUUAUCCGGAAUGAUUGGGCGUAAAGGGUGCGCAGGCGGUCCUGCAAGUCUGGAGUGAAACGCAUGAGCUCAACUCAUGCAUGGCUUUGGAAACUGGAGGACUGGAGGGCAGGAGG
rnacentral:rRNA from 1 species